rnacentral:miRNA from 1 species
UUGAAGGAUUUGUAAGAGAUGUUUGAGGAAGCUGACUCAGUGUUAAACAGUGACUCAGUUUCCUCAAACUUUUCUUACAAAUCCUUCAA